rnacentral:tRNA from 6 species
GGGCUUGUGGCGCAGUAUGGAUAGCGUGGUAGCCUCCUAAGUUACAGGUCGAGGGAUCGAAGCCCUCCAAGCCCG